rnacentral:rRNA from 1 species
GACGAACGCUGGCGGCGUGCUUAACACAUGCAAGUCGAACGGAAAGGCCCUGCGUUUGUGGGGUGCUCGAGUGGCGAACGGGUGAGUAACACGUGAGUAACCUGCCCUUGACUUUGGGAUAACUUCAGGAAACUGGGGCUAAUACCGGAUAGGAGCUCCUGCUGCAUGGUGGGGGUUGGAAAGAUUCGGCGGUUGGGGAUGGACUCGCGGCUUAUCGGCUUGUUGGUGGGGUAGUGGCUUACCAAGGCUUUGACGGGUAGCCGGCCUGAGAGGGUGACCGGCCCCAUUGGGACUGAGAUACGGCCCAGACUCCUACGGGAGGCAGAGGUGGGGAGUAUUGCACAGUGGGCGGAAGCCUGAUGCAGCAACGCCGCGUGCGGGAUGACGGCCUUCGGGUUGUAAACCGCUUUCGCCUGUGACGAAGCGUGAGUGACGGUAAUGGGUAAAGAAGCACCGGCUAACUACGUG